UGCAGUCGAGCGGUAAGGCCCUUCGGGGUACACGAGCGGCGAACGGGUGAGUAACACGUGGGUAACCUGCCCUGUACUCUGGGAUAAGCCUUGGAAACGAGGUCUAAUACCGGAUACGACCUGGUGUCGCAUGAUUUUGGGUGGAAAGUUCCGGCGGUAUGGGAUGGACCCGCGGCCUAUCAGCUUGUUGGUGGGGUAAUGGCCUACCAAGGCGACGACGGGUAGCCGGCCUGAGAGGGUGACCGGCCACACUGGGACUGAGACACGGCCCAGACUCCUACGGGAGGCAGCAGUGGGGAAUAUUGCACAAUGGGCGAAAGCCUGAUGCAGCGACGCCGCGUGAGGGAUGACGGCCUUCGGGUUGUAAACCUCUUUCAGCAGGGACGAAGCGCAAGUGACGGUACCUGCAGAAGAAGCACCGGCUAACUACGUGCCAGCAGCCCGGGGGUAAUUCA
rnacentral:rRNA from 1 species